AUUGAACGCUGGCGGCGUGCCUAAUACAUGCAAGUCGAACGCAGUGGGGACGGGUGAGUAACACGUGGGUAACCUCCCAUCAGAGGGGAUAACACUUGGAAACAGGUGCUAAACCGAUACUGAUGGAUGGACCCGCGGUGCAUUAGCUAGUUGGUGAGGUAACGGCUCACCAAGGCCACGUUGUAUAGCCGACCUACGAGGUGGUUCGGCAAACCGGGGACUGAGACAUGGCCCAGACGCCUACGGGAGGCAGCAGUAGGGAAUCUUCGGCAAUGGACGAAAGUCUGACCGAGCAACGCCGCGUGAGUGAAGAAGGUUUUCGGAUCGUAAAACUCUGUUGUUAGAGAAGCGGUAUCUAACCAGAAAGCCACGGCUAACUACGUGCCAGCAGCCGCGGUAAUU
rnacentral:rRNA from 1 species